GAUGAACGCUGGCGGCGUGCCUAAUACAUGCAAGUCGAGCGAACGGACGAGAAGCUUGCUUCUCUGAUGUUAGCGGCGGACGGGUGAGUAACACGUGGAUAACCUACCUAUAAGACUGGGAUAACUUCGGGAAACCGGAGCUAAUACCGGAUAAUAUUUUGAACCGCAUGGUUCAAAAGUGAAAGACGGUCUUGCUGUCCCUUAUAGAUGGAUCCGCGCUGCAUUAGCUAGUUGGUAAUGUAACGGCUUACCAAGGCAACGAUGCAUAGCCGACCUGAGAGGGUGAUCGGCCACACUGGAACUGAGACACGGUCCAGACUCCUACGGGAGGCAGCAGUAGGGAAUCUUCCACAAUGGGCGAAAGCCUGACGGAGCAACACCGCGUGAGUGAUGAAGGUCUUCGGAUCGUAAAACUCUGUUAUUGGGAAAGAACAUAUGUGUAAGUAACUGUGCACAUCUUGACGGUACCUAAACAGAAAGCCACGGCUAACUACGUG
rnacentral:rRNA from 1 species